AACGUAGGUGGCGAGCGUUAUCCGGAUUUACUGGGCGUAAAGGGUGUGCAGGCUGCCCCUCAAGUGGUGUAUGAAAGGGCUCGGACUCAACCGGGCUAGGUUAGUGCCAGACUGAGGGGCUAGAGAGCGAGAGCGGGACGUGGAAUUCCGGGGUGUAGUGGUGAAAUGCGUAGAGAUCCGGAGGAACCCCAGAGGCGAAGGCGGCGUCCGUGGCUCGCAUCUGACGCUCAGACACGACAGCAUGGGGAGCGAACGGG
rnacentral:rRNA from 1 species